CCUACGGGUGGCUGCAGUGAGGAAUAUUGGUCAAUGGGCGGGAGCCUGAACCAGCCAAGUCGCGUGAGGGAAGACGGUCCUAUGGAUUGUAAACCUCUGUCAGCAGGGAGGAACGGUCACUGUGCUAAUCAGCAGUGACUUGACGCUACCUGCAAAGGAAGCACCGGCUACCUCCGUGCCAGCAGCCGCUGUAAUACGGAGGGUGCGAGCGUUACCCGGAAUUACUGGGCGUAAAGCGCUCGUAGGCGGUAUGUCAAGUCAAGAGUGAAAUCCCCGCGCUCAACGAGGGAACUGCCUUUGAAACUGGCAAACUGGAGUGUGGGAGAGGAAAGUGGAAUUCCAGGUGUAGGAGUGAAAUCCGUAGAUAUCAGGAGGAACAUCAGUGGCGAAGGCGACUAACUGGAACGUAACUGACGCUGAGGAGCGAAAGCGUGGGGAGCAAACAGGAUUAGAUACCCGAGUAGUC
rnacentral:rRNA from 1 species